GAUCGGCCCGCGUCUGAUUAGCUUGUUGGUGAGGUAACGGCUCACCAAGGCGACGAUCAGUAGCUGGUCUGAGAGGAUGAUCAGCCUCACUGGGACUGAGACACGGCCCAGACUCCUACGGGAGGCAGCAGUGGGGAAUAUUGGACAAUGGGCGCAAGCCUGAUCCAGCCAUGCCGCGUGGAUGAUGAAGGCCCUAGGGUUGUAAAGUCCUUUCGGCGGGGAAGAUAAUGACGGUACCCGCAGAAGAAGCCCCGGCUAACUUCGUGCCAGCAGCCGCGGUAAUACAAAGGGGGCAAGCGUUGCUCGGAAUCACUGGGCGUAAAGCGCACGUAGGCGGCUUUCUAAGUCAGAGGUGAAAUCCUGGAGCUCAACUCCAGAACUGCCUUUGAUACUGGAGAGCUUGAGUCCGGGAGAGGUGAGUGGAACUGCNAGUGUAGAGGUGAAAUUCGUAGACAUUCGCAAGAACACCAGUGGCGAAGGCGGCUCACUGGCCCGGUACUGACGCUGAGGUGCAAAAGCGUGGGGAGCAAACAGGAUUAGAUCCCCUGGUAGUCCCCGCCGUAAACGAUGGAUGCCAACCCUUUUCGGGUUUACCCCGUCAGUGGCCGCACCUAACCCUUUAAGCAUCCCCCCCUGGGGA
rnacentral:rRNA from 1 species